rnacentral:tRNA from 1 species
CGACGACGUGGCCGAGGCCGACCUCGUCGUCUGCUGCACGACGGCCCGUACGCCCCUCUUCGACGGCGCCCUGGUCGCCUCGGGCGCCACCGUC